rnacentral:rRNA from 1 species
UGGGGAAUAUUGCACAAUGGGGGAAACCCUGAUGCAGCGACGCCGCGUGGAGGAAGAAGGUUUUCGGAUUGUAAACUCCUGUCGUUAGGGACGAUAAUGACGGUACCUAACAAGAAAGCACCGGCUAACUACGUGCCAGCAGCCGCGGUAAAACGUAGGGUGCAAGCGUUGUCCGGAAUUACUGGGUGUAAAGGGAGCGCAGGCGGGAAGACAAGUUGGAAGUGAAAACCAUGGGCUCAACCCAUGAAUUGCUUUCAAAACUGUUUUUCUUGAGUAGUGCAGAGGUAGAUGGAAUUCCCGGUGUAGCGGUGGAAUGCGUAGAUAUCGGGAGGAACACCAGUGGCGAAGGCGACCUACUGGGCACCAACUGACGCUGAGGCUCGAAAGCAUGGGUAGCAAACAGGAUUAGAUACCCUGGUAGUCCAUGCCGUAAACGAUGAUUACUAGGUGUUGGAGGAUUGACCCCUUCAGUGCCGCAGUUAACACAAUAAGUAAUCCACCUGGGGAGUACGACCGCAAGGUUGAAACUCAAAGGAAUUGACGGGGGCCCGCACAAGCAGUGGAGUAUGUGGUUUAAUUCGAAGCAACGCGAAGAACCUUACCAGGUCUUGACAUCCGAUGAAUAGCUUAGAGAUAAGUGAAGUCCUUCGGGACAUCGAGACAGGUGGUGCAUGGUUGUCGUCAGCUCGUGUCGUGAGAUGUUGGGUUAAGUCCCGCAACGAGCGCAACCCUUAUUGCCAGUUACUACGUAAGAGGACUCUGGCGAGACUGCCGUUGACAAAACGGAGGAAGGUGGGGAUGACGUCAAAUCAUCAUGCCCUUUAUGACCUGGGCUACACACGUACUACAAUGGCGUUUAACAAAGAGAAGCAAGACCGCGAGGUGGAGCAAAACUCAAAAACAACGUCUCAGUUCAGAUUGCAGGCUGCAACUCGCCUGCAUGAAGUCGGAAUUGCUAGUAAUCGCGGAUCAGCAUGCCGCGGUGAAUACGUUCCC